UUAAAUUGAAGAGUUUGAUCAUGGCUCAGAUUGAACGCUGGCGGCAGGCCUAACACAUGCAAGUCGAACGGUAACAGGAAGCAGCUUGCUGCUUUGCUGACGAGUGGCGGACGGGUGAGUAAUGUCUGGGAAACUGCCUGAUGGAGGGGGAUAACUACUGGAAACGGUAGCUAAUACCGCAUAACGUCGCAAGACCAAAGAGGGGGACCUUCGGGCCUCUUGCCAUCGGAUGUGCCCAGAUGGGAUUAGCUAGUAGGUGGGGUAACGG
rnacentral:rRNA from 1 species